UAGGGAAUCUUCGGCAAUGGGGGGAACCCUGACCGAGCAACGCCGCGUGAGUGAAGAAGGUUUUCGGAUCGUAAAGCUCUGUUGUUAAGGAAGAACGAGUGUGAGAAUGGAAAGUUCAUACUGUGACGGUACUUAACCAGAAAGGGACGGCUAACUACGUGCCAGCAGCCGCGGUAAUACGUAGGUCCCGAGCGUUGUCCGGAUUUAUUGGGCGUAAAGCGAGCGCAGGCGGUUAGAUAAGUCUGAAGUUAAAGGCAGUGGCCCAACCAUUGUAGGCUUUGGAAACUGUUUAACUUGAGUGCAGAAGGGGAGAGUGGAAUUCCAUGUGUAGCGGUGAAAUGCGUAGAUAUAUGGAGGAACACCGGUGGCGAAAGCGGCUCUCUGGUCUGUAACUGACGCUGAGGCUCGAAAGCGUGGGGAGCGAACAGGAUUAGAUACCCUGGUAGUCCACGCCGUAAACGAUGAGUGCUAGGUGUUAGGUCCUUUCCGGGACUUAGUGCCGCAGCUAACGCAUUAAGCACUCCGCCUGGGGAGUACGACCGCAAGGUUG
rnacentral:rRNA from 1 species